rnacentral:tRNA from 1 species
GGAGAAAUUGAUGAGGUUACUGCUAAUAAUCUCUUGUCAGUUAAAUUUGACUUUCUCUU